GUGUAGUAUGAAAGGAGAGACGUUUAGCGCUCCCCUAGACAAGGAUGGAACACAUAUAAAUGGUAAGGCACUGUCGCUAGACCAAAUAAAAAAGAAAAACCAAAUAUUACGU